UUACCUGUUUUCAUGGAACACUUGCUUGAACCAUGCUAAAGACUCACAAUCCUACUGAUGGACAACUGUAGUGUUUGAAUGAGAGGUAUCCUCCAUAGGCUAUGUAUUUGAACACUUGUUUCCCAGUUGGUGAUGUUUAGAGAGGCUAUGAAACUGUUAGGAGGUGUGACUCUGUUAAAGGAUGCCACACAGGGUGGUCAAUGAGAUUUUAGAGCCUUACCACACUUCCAGAUCACUCUGUCUGCUUCCCACAUGUGAAUGGAGAGUGACAUCUCAGCUUGCUGAUCUGGACACCUGCUGCCAUGCCUCCUGUCACUGGGUGGCCUGAUGUCUGAUGCUGUUUGUGUCCUAUAGCUAAAACUCAUUCCUCAAGGUACGCACAGCCAUAGCCAGUUUUCUGGAGACCCAAACUCAAGAUCUCAUGAUGAGCAUCACAGAAGGCCCAUUCAGCCCAAGCUAUAUAUGGAAUCCUUUCAAGAACCAACCAACAGUAAUAAACAAUGCUUGCCUUCCACUCUAUA
rnacentral:lncRNA from 1 species